UGGCUGUGAUGACAUGAAGAGAACGGUUUCGCAUCUUACCUGAAAUGCAGUGAUGUGUCCUCUCUUGGCUGUCUGAGCUG